rnacentral:tmRNA from 1 species
GGGGGUGAUCGGUUUCGACUUGGGGCGAUAGUUCCAGGAGAAGCGGGCCGAGGAUCCACGGUUAUCUCGUAAACGCCCCGUGGAAACCAAUAAGUGCCGAUUCCAAGCGCACUGACUUCGCUCUCGCUGCCUGAGCAGUGACCGAAGGGUCAGCCCGGACUAGCCUUCGGUCCGGUUCCUGGCCUCAUUCAGAAGGCUUGCUCUGCUGACCUUGUUCUGGGGUCAUCAGGGGACUUUCACAGAACUGGGCUCGGCUGCAACCCGCCGUUAGGAGUGCAGGAGCCAAGUAGACCGCCAUAACGGCUGCGCCCGGAGAAGUCCUGAGUUCAUCCUUCGAGGACCGGGGUUCGAUUCCCCGCACCUCCACCC